UCUAAAAGGAACAGGCUGAGAAAGCUGAUCAGUAGUAGUAAUUCAGAAUCUCAGAACUCUCAACGACAAGUGCUUUGAACUGAGUAUUCUUGCAGUCUAAAGUAAAUUUGUUAUCAAAGUACAUAUAUGUCACCGUAUACAAUCCUGAGAUUCAUUGUCUUGUGGGCAUACCCAAUAAAUCUAAGAAUAAUAAUUAUAACAGAGUCAAUGAAAGACCACCCAAAUAGGGCAUUCAAUCAGACAACAAACUGUGCAAAUGCAAAAAGAAAGAAAUAAUGAAUAAUUACGCAAUAAAUAUUGAGAACAUGAAAUGAAGAGUUCUUGAGAGUGAGUUCAAAAGCUGUGGGAACAUUUCAAUGACGGGCAAGUGAAGUUGAGUGAAUUGGUUGAGGGGCAGUAACAGUUCCUGAACCUGGUGUGUGAGUCCUGAGGCUCCUGUACCUUCUUCCUGAUGGCUGCAAUGAGAAGAGAGCGUCUCUUGGGUGGUGGGGAUCUCUGCUGACGGAUACAACUUUCCAGCCACAGUGUUAAGUUGGGAGGGCUUAACCCAUGAUGGUUUGGGCCAUAUCCACUGCUUUGCAGACAAUAAAGCAGCAACUUAUCCUGGCAGCAGGUGCCCUGGCUCUUGCUGUGUGUCUACGGCCAGCGAUCAAACGGACCCACGGUGUAAUAGUACGUUUGAACCGCAGGUGGAAACCAAGUCAAUGGAAUGGUGUGACCAACAGUACUAUCGUGGCAGCAGCUAAUGCUACAAGUUUGACUCAGGAGACGACCAGUUUAAACCCUCCUGUGAACUUUUCCCACAACGCAGGCAGAGGUUGACCUUCGCACAUCAGAUGGGUGCUCACUGACGGGGUGGUUGUGUGUGUGUGCCUGCUGGUGGAGCUCCUGCAUUGUCGGAUGGUGUGAUCUUUAAUCUUGUAUGGUAAUGACCCAGGAACUGUGGUCAGUUGCAAGUAAUCUCAUUCAAUGCACAACUUAAUGUGGUUUCCACAGAGUACGGCUUGUCCCAAGCUUCACCAAAAUCCUUCGUGCCAACAGGUAUUUGUCCAUUGUUCUCGGGUUAAAAACGGGGGGAAGACUGCUAUUUUAAUUACCAAAGAUUUGUGUACAGUUCUGGUCAAUUGUGUACAGUUCUGAUCACCGAAUUAUAGGAAAGAUAUCAAUAAAUUAGAGAGUGCAGAGACGAUUUACUAGGAUGUUACCUGGGUUUCAGCACUUAAGUUACAGAGAAAGGUUGAACAAGUUAGGUCUCUAUUCAUUGGAGCGUAGAAGGUUGAGGGGGGAUUUGAUCGAGGUAUUUAAAAUUUUGAGAGGGAUAGUGUGCUGUCUUUACGACAGUUAUUUAGUUUAUAAUAUUUUCGCUUAGUAAUUCAUUCAAUAGUAUUUUCUAGUUAGAAUUAGAAGUGUUUAAAGUAUAUUCAUUGCAUGUAAAAUAUAUCGGCAUGCGAUGACGUCACAUCCGGUUUCGCCGCGUCUUGUGGGAAAACACCGGUUUGAAAUUAGCGCGAGGGUGGGGGCUUUCCACGAGGCUCACCUGAGCACAAGCAGUUUUGCAGGCAUGAGAAAUCACAGUGAGAGCAACGCUGUAAGUUAAUAGAUAAUCGAUAUAUUGAACUAAGAUGUUAAUGCUGAUCCUGUUAGAGGUAACGACGGUAGAUAAUGUUUAUGCUUUCGUUAGUUAAAGAGUCGCGGAUAGUUUGCAUGGAAGUGUAUUUAAAGUAGUCAAUGGAGCAGGUAAACUCUCCCUGUAUACUGCACCUUAGUGUAAUGUAGUUAUAGUCACCUUUGCAAGUAUUUACACUUGAAAUGUGAUAUUAAGGAAGGAACAAAUACUGUAUCAAUCUUGUAUUGUUUUAUCAACAGUUUUCACCAUAUGUUAAUGUGAAGAGUGAACAGUAAAUGGUUAAUCUUACUGCGAUCUGGUUCUUAUUAACUGUGGUUUAUCCGGACGUUAAAUUCGGCGUUUCGUUACACCCGAAGGAGAACGUUACAGUGAAAAAGCGGCAUUAUCAGGUGUUUCAAGUGCUGCAAUGUCAGCUCAAUCCAGCAUCAAGUCGACGCCGCCCAGCGACAAGGGCAGUAAACCGACAUCAAGUAAGCCCACCCAGGCGUUAUCAGGUGUUCCAAGUGCUGCAAUGUCAGCUCGAUCCGGGAUCAAGUCGAUGGCGCCCAGCGACAAGGGCAGUAGAACGACAUCAAGUAAGUCCACACAGGCAAGAGCCAAGGCAGAAGCUGCCAAGGUGCGACUGCAUUACGCCAAACAAGAGGCAGUUUUGAAAAUGAAACUGGCCACCAAAGAAGCCGAAAAGGCUGCCAGACAAAGAGAAGAGGCUGCCAGACAAAGAGAAGAGGCCGCCAGAGAAGCCGAAACCCAGUUGGAAAUGACAAAAAUAUCGACAGAGUUGCAUGUGCUGCAGCUAGAAGGAGAAGGAGAAGCUGCCAGGGUGGAAGCAGAGUACAUAGAAGAAGCUGAAGGGUCGCGUGAUCUGACCGAAACAAGUUCUGCUUUGGAAAGGACCAGACUGGAACGCACGAGCGACUAUGUACAAUAUCAAGCAGACAGGCAGGCUCGUCUCCCCUCUCCAUACCUAUUCGAUAACUUCCCCAGCUACGAGGAAGAGAAUUUACCCUCGCGGCCCCGCGAUGAAGUCAAGAAUGAAAGAGCUGACAACCGAUAUACUUUGACACCAAAGUUACAAAGUUCGAUGCGAAGAGACGCGGAGGUUGAAUCCAGGAUGGCAAAUUCCAUGAGAAACGUGCGUUCUCAGUCAUAUGGGCGCCAACGUACUUCUCCAGCCCGCAUGCCGCUUGCAGCCGAUCCCACGCUGCAGUAUUUAGCACGACGGGAUCUCGUCACUUCGGGACUGUACCAGUUUGACGAUAAACCCGAAAAUUACCAUGCUUGGCUCUCCACAUUCACCAACGUGAUUGACGGGGUCCAGCUCAGUGCAACCCAAAGGUUGGACCUUAUGGCGAAAUGGCUGGGGAAAGAAUCACGCGACCAGGUGAGACGCAUGCGUUCAGUGUACAUCAACAAACCUGAGCUAGCCUUAAGCGAAGCGUGGGAGAGACUUUGGGAGAGAUAUGGGGCCCCUGACAUUAUUGAAGCGGCGCUAUAUCGACGUCUGGGAAACUUUCCUAAGGUGUCAGCCAAAGAUCACUUUAAGUUAAGAGAAUUCGGAGAUUUACUCAUGGAGAUCCAAGGCGCCAAAGAAGAUGGCUAUUCAGCUGGUUUAGUAUUCCUAGAUACUCCAUCCGGGAUUAGACCAAUUGUGGACAAACUUCCAUUUGGGCUGCAGGACAAGUGGCUGACUGUUGCCUCAGAGUACAAGGAAGACCACGAUGGUCGAUUUCCUCCCUUUGAGCUCCUCACUAGGUUUGUGUGCAAGGAGGCGAAGAGGCGAAACGACCCUAGCCUUGUAGGUCCAGGAAGCGGUUCGAUUUACACCAAGCCAGGCAGAUCCGUUUCGAAUGUUUUCAACAUUGAUAAACCCGUGUCAGUGCUCAAGACCGAAGCCCUUACAACUAACAACGACCCUGGCAAGUAUUGUCCAUUGCAUAACAAACCUCACCCCCUGAAAGCAUGCAGAAUGUUUAGGGAAAAACCCCUUGAAGAGAGGACGGCUCUUCUCAAGGAGAAAAGAAUAUGUUUUAGAUGUUGUUCCUCAACCUCUCACCUCGCCAGAGAGUGUACGAUCGCCGUGAAGUGUCCGGAAUGUGGCAGCCCAGAUCACGUCGAGGCCAUGCAUCCCGACCUGUCACCACAAACCGAGAGCGCUCCUUCACCCCCACAACAGGACGGCGGGGAGGGAGAGGCUCACUCUAGGUCAAUAGCUGUCAGCACGAACUGUACAGAAGUUUGCGGUCAAGCUCAGUCAAGUCGUUCUUGUUCCAAGAUCUGCCUCACUAAGGUGUACCCUAAAGGAGCCAAAGACAAGGCCAUCAAAGCCUAUGUGAUUCUGGACGAUCAGAGCAAUCGUUCACUAGUCAGUCCAGAGUUCUUUAAAUUGUUCAACAUUGAGAGUGAGCGGUUCCCAUACUACCUCAAAACUUGCUCAGGCAACAUGAAAACCCAAGGAAGGAAGGCAGAAGGCAUCCAGAUCGAGUCCCUGGAUGGUAAAGUCGUCAUCUGUCUCCCUCCGCUCUUAGAGUGCAAUGAAAUCAUGAAUAACCGCGCUGGGAUCCCGACACCAAGUGCGGUGCUACACCAGCCGCAUCUCCACCACAUCGCCAAACACAUCCCAGAACUGGAUCCGAAAGCGGAAAUACUCCUGCUAUUAGGAAGAGAUGUUAUCCAGGUACACAAGGUUAGGCAGCAGAUCAAUGGACCACUCAACGCCCCCUUCGCGCAACGUCUGGAUCUGGGCUGGGUGGUGAUAGGAGAGGUGUGUCUCGGUGACGUACACAAACCGACGGUCGGCACACUCAAGACCAAUGUGCUAGAGAGUGGCCGCCAUUCAAUCUUUCGACCCUGCCCGAGUGUCCCGUGCAUCAAGGAAGCACAACAAGGCGUUAACAAGCGCGAGGCAAGCGACGAGUCGCUGGGCCAGUCAGUCUUCGCUCUAACGAAGUAUGACGACAAACUUGCACAAUCAGCUCAAGAUACCAUUUCUUUAAAAACCGAAGACACCAAGGUCUUCAGAGAUGAAGCAAAUAAUGGGGUUGCCCCAUUGCCUAUCAGAGAACCAUGCCAGCGCUCACCAGAUAACAAAGAGCAGGCAGUCAAACGGUUCACGUCCUUACGGAAAACCCGGAAAAGGAAACCUGAGAUGCAGCAACACACCCGAUUGGCUCACGAGGUACUGUGCACCCUAAUGGCAGAGGUCACAGCCAUUAUAAACGCACAAUCAUUCCUACCUGUGUCUUCUGACCCAGAAAACCCCUUUAUACUUUCGCCAUCAACGCUCCUUACGCAGAAGGCAGGAGCACCUCCUCCACCAGGAGACUUCUCAGACAAGAAUUUGUACACAAAGCAAUGGAGACAAGUCCAGGCUCUGGCAAAUCAGUUCUGGUCCCGCUGGAGACAGAAAUAUCUACCCUCGUUGCAACAGAGACGAAAGUGGACAGAACCCGUAGGAAUCUUCAAGUUGGAGACUUCGUCCUGCUCAGGGACAAGCAGAUCACCCGCAACAGCUGGCCAACGGCCAGAAUCACUGCUACAUUCCCUAUCGAGGAUGGACAUGUCAGGAAGAUCGAAUUGAAGACUACCGACCAAGGCGAUGUGAAAAUUUACCAAGGGCCAGUUACAGAAGUUAUUCUACUUCUACCCAAUGACUGAUUAAGAGACUAAGUUUUGUACUCUGCUCAUUGUGACCUUACGAAGGUCAAGCGGGGAGUGUGCUGUCUUUACGACAGUUAUUUAGUUUAUAAUAUUUUCGCUUAGUAAUUCAUUCAAUAGUAUUUUCUAGUUAGAAUUAGAAGUGUUUAAAGUAUAUUCAUUGCAUGUAAAAUAUAUCGGCAUGCGAUGACGUCACAUCCGGUUUCGCCGCGUCUUGUGGGAAAACACCGGUUUGAAAUUAGCGCGAGGGUGGGGGCUUUCCACGAGGCUCACCUGAGCACAAGCAGUUUUGCAGGCAUGAGAAAUCACAGUGAGAGCAACGCUUUUUCACCAUAUGUUAAUGUGAAGAGUGAACAGUAAAUGGUUAAUCUUACUGCGAUCUGGUUCUUAUUAACUGUGGUUUAUCCGGACGUUAAAUUCGGCGUUUCGUUACACCCGAAGGAGAACGUUACAGAUAGAUAGAGUUGACGUGAAUAGGCUGUUUCCAUUGAGAGUAGGGGAGAUUCAAACGAGAGGACAUGAUUUGAGAGUUGGGGGCAGAAAUUUAAGGGAAACACGAGGGGUAUUUCUUUAUUCAGAGAGUGAUAGCUGUGUGGAAUGAGCUUCCUGUAGAAGUAGUAGAGGCCAGUUAAGUUGUGUCAUUUAAGGUAAAAUUGGAUAGGUAUAUGGACAGGAAAGGAGUGGAGGGUUAUGGGCUGAGUGUGGAUAGGUGGGACUAGGUGAGAUUAAGAGUUCGGCACGGACUAGGAAGGCCGAGAUGGCCUGUUUCUGUGCUGUGAUUGUUAUAUGGUUAUAAAGAUGCUAAAUUGUAAAUAUCUUUGAACGUUUCUGAUAUUCAGAAUAUUUUGAGCUGUUAACAUUAAUUUUAAUAAAAACUUUUUAAAUGUUUAAAAAAGAUUUAAGCAUUCUAAAAUUAUGUGUUACUGUGUUAAAGUGGAGGUCGAUAGUUUAUUGAUCAGUAAGAGAUCAAAGCUGGCGGGGUGAAGGCAGGGGAAUGGGGUCCG